UGCUAUCAUGUCGUCGUCAUUGUCCGAAGACACAUUUAGUUUCGGGACAAUAACUUUAGUUUUAGUGAAUGGAUUUUAUAGAAAUUUACCAGAAGGUUCAUUACUACUGAUGGAAGGUUGGGAUUGAUUGUUUGGGUUAUGGUCCCAAUAGUUUUGGAAUUGGGGCCAAAAAGGGGGCCCAAAAAAAGCAUUUUUGUAGUUUUCAAACAAUAACUUGUGUUUAAGUGCAUGAAUCUCUCUGAAAUUAUACCACAAAUUUCCAUACCAUGAAGGGAUAGUAAAUAUUGAUUUUUGGGGCUAUGGUCCCAAUAGUUUUGGAAUUGGGGGCCAAAAAGGGGGCCCAAAAAAGCAUUUUUGUAGUUUUCAAACAAUAACUUGUGUUUAACAUGUUUAAGUGUAUGAAUCUCUCUGAAAUUAUACCACAAAUUUCCAUACAAAGAAGGGAUAGUUAGUUCUGACUUUGGGGGAUUAAGCUUCAAAAAAUUUGGAAUUAGGGACAAAAAAAGGGGGAAACUAGGUUUUUCUGGACAAUUAAGACAAUUUAAAAGCAGUGUAAGGGAGGUAAUUCAAAAAUAUUUAACAUACAAUGUUGGGUGUAUGUUCUUAUUUACUUCCCUUACUCUACUUGAAAAUAAUGUAUAAAGAAUGUCAGGUUUUGGACUUAUUGCCAAAAAAAUGGGGGUGUGGUAGUUUUCAAAUUUUUUCCCCCAAAUUUUUUUAAAGUUUGAAGAAGAAAUCUUUAAUUGCACAAUAUUGUGCAAUAGAUUUGUAAGAUCUUGACAUUUGUUUUGUGUAAUAAACUCAUAUUAUGUCAAAAAUUUAUUCACAAUCCAAAUUCAGAGCUGUAUCAAGCUUGAAUGUUUUGUCCAUGCAUUUUUGUACUUGCCCCAACUAUUCAGGGUUUGACCUCUGCGGUCGUAUAAAGCUGCGCCCAGCAGAGCACUUGGUUGUUUUUAUAAAAACUUUUUAUAAAAAUUGAGAGUUGAUUGC
rnacentral:lncRNA from 1 species